rnacentral:rRNA from 1 species
GAAUUCACUAGUGAUUCAGGCCUAACACAUGCAAGUCGAACGAACUCUGGUAUUGAUUGGUGCUUGCAUCAUGAUUUACAUUUGAGUGAGUGGCGAACUGGUGAGUAACACGUGGGAAACCUGCCCAGAAGCGGGGGAUAACACCUGGAAACAGAUGCUAAUACCGCAUAACAACUUGGACCGCAUGGUCCGAGUUUGAAAGAUGGCUUCGGCUAUCACUUCUGGAUGGUCCCGCGGCGUAUUAGCUAGAUGGUGAGGUAACGGCUCACCAUGGCAAUGAUACGUAGCCGACCUGAGAGGGUAAUCGGCCACAUUGGGACUGAGACACGGCCCAAACUCCUACGGGAGGCAGCAGUAGGGAAUCUUCCACAAUGGACGAAAGUCUGAUGGAGCAGCGCCGCGUGAGUGAAGAAGGGUUUCGGCUCGUAAAACAAGGGGUUAAAGAAGAACAUAUCUGAGAGUAACUGUUCAGGUAUGACG